rnacentral:rRNA from 1 species
CAUUUCUAAAACAUAGCCUUAAUGCACCGGAUCCCAUUAGAACUCUGCAUUUAAGCGUGCUCGAUCUAGAGUAGUACUAGGAUGGGUGACCACUCGAGAAGUCCUAGUAUUUGACAUGC